AACAGAGCUAAUUCACCGGCUUUGAUGUGGUGGAAGGAAUUUCAAGGGUUCCUGUGCCAAAAAUAUAAAACUAUCACACAUAAUAGUCAUACAUCAUGUCACGAUAGUCAUCGAUAGUUGUGGGCAAACGAGAAUUUUCGCUAAGACGCGACAUGGUCAUACUGAAGGAAAAUUGUAACAUAAUGAUGAUAACUGACUGCUGACUUUGACAGCGAAAACGGCGAAGCAAAAAUGGGAAAUAGCCGCCAUUUUGAUCCUCUACAGUUGCACAUACACACACUUGGCAAUCGAAGUGCUGUCUUAUUGCCUGCGAUCUUUAAUGAGCCGCGUUAAUGGCUUGCGAUCUUUGCUUAUAAGGCUAGUUAGGAGAUGAUCGUUCAGAUCUGUAGACUUCGAAUUCAUCUGUAUUAUCAUCGGACUUCCAAGUGAAUUACUAAUCUUUUUCCUGCGAUUCAAUUGGAUUGCCAGAGCAUCCGAGCUUGUGUCUCUAUUUUUCAAUCAACAUCAGCGGAGUAGAUAACGCGACACGACAGUCGAAAGACGAAAGACGAAAGACGCCACUUACACAGAACAAACAAUUCGAUGGGUUGUGGGUAAAUACAAA